GCUGUGGCUCAGUGGCAGAGCAUCUGUCUGGCAUGCAGAAGGUCCUAGGUCCAAUCCCUGGCAUCUCCA
rnacentral:tRNA from 1 species